rnacentral:rRNA from 1 species
AACCUGGUUGAUCCUGCCAGUACUGCAUAUGCUGUGUCUCAAAGAUUACAGCCAUGCAUGUCUAAGUAUAAACAUUUUAUACUGUGAAACUGCGAAUGGCUCAUUAAAGUCAGUUAUAGUCUUAUGCGAUGGUACACUUACUACUCGGAUACCCGUAGUAGAUCUCUAGAGCUAAUACGUGCGUAACUCCCGACUUCUGGAAGGGAUGUAUUUAUUAGAUAAAAGACCGACCGGGCUUGCCCGUUUUCCGGUGACUCAUGAUAAUCUUCACGACAACGCAUGGCCUUUGCGCUGGCGAUGUUUCAUUCAAAUUUCUGCCCUAUCAACUUUCGAUGGUAAGGUAGUGGCUUACCAUGGUGGUAGCGGGUGACGGAGCGAUUAGGGUUCGAUUCCGGAGAGGGAGCCUGA